AUCACUUGGGGAUUUAGUUAAAAUGCAGAUUCUGGUUCAGUAGAUCUGGAGUGGGGCCUGAAAUUCUGCAUUUCUAACAAGCUCCCAGGUGAUACCA
rnacentral:miRNA from 1 species